CCUACGGGAUGCAGCAGUGGGGAAUAUUGGGCCAUGGGCGCAAGCCUGACCCAGUAACGCCGCGUGAAGGAAGAAGGCUUUCGGGUUGUACACUUCUUUUGUCAGGGACGAAGCAAGUGACGGUACCUGACGAAUAAGCCACGGCUAACUACGUGCCAGCUGCCGCGGUAAUACGUAGGUGGCAAGCGUUAUCCGGAUUUAUUGGGUGUAAAGGGCGUGUAGGCGGGAAUGCAAGUCAGAUUUGAAAACUAUGGGCUCAACCCAUAGCCUGCAUUUGAAACUGUAUUUCUUGAGUGCUGGAGAGGCAAUCGGAAUUCCGUGUGUAGCGGUGAAAUGCGUAGAUAUACGGAGGAACACCAGUGGCGAAGGCGGAUUGCUGGACAGUAACUGACGCUGAGGCGCGAAAGCGUGGGGAGCAAACAGGAUUAGAUACCCCAGUAGUC
rnacentral:rRNA from 1 species